CCUACGGGUGGCAGCAGUAGGGAAUAUUGCACAAUGGGCGAAAGCCUGAUGCAGCAACGCCGCGUGCGCGAUGAAGGCCUUCGGGUCGUAAAGCGCUUUUUGAGGAGAUGAGGAAGGACAGUAUCCUCAGAAUAAGGAUCGGCUAACUACGUGCCAGCAGCCGCGGUAACACGUAGGAUCCGAGCGUUAUCCGAAUUUACUGGGCGUAAAGCGCGUGCAGGCGGUUUGGUAAGUUGGAUGUGAAAGCUCCUGGCUCAACUGGGAGAGGCCGUUCAAAACUACCAGACUCGAGGGUGGUAGAGGGAGGUGGAAUUCCCGGUGUAGUAGUGAAAUGCGUAGAUAUCGGGAGGAACACCAGAGGCGAAGGCGGCCUCCUGGACCAUUCCUGACGCUAAGACGCGAAAGCUAGGGGAGCGAACGGGAUUAGAUACCCCUGUANUC
rnacentral:rRNA from 1 species